AUCCAGAUGACGAGUCCCAAAUAGGACGAAGAACGCAUCCUGGAU
rfam:Schistosoma haematobium scaffold182_34, whole genome shotgun sequence.